GACGAACGCUGGCGGCGUGCUUAACACAUGCAAGUCGAACGGAAAGGCCCAGCUUGCUGGGUACUCGAGUGGCGAACGGGUGAGUAACACGUGGGUGAUCUGCCCUGCACUCUGGGAUAAGCCUGGGAAACUGGGUCUAAUACCGGAUAUGAUCAACUGUCGCAUGGUGGUUGGUGGAAAGCUUUUGCGGUGUGGGAUGGGCCCGCGGCCUAUCAGCUUGUUGGUGGGGUAAUGGCCUACCAAGGCGACGACGGGUAGACGACCUGAGAGGGUGAUCGGCCACACUGGGACUGAGACACGGCCCAGACUCCUACGGGAGGCAGCAGUGGGGAAUAUUGCACAAUGGGCGCAAGCCUGAUGCAGCGACGCCGCGUGAGGGAUGACGGCCUUCGGGUUGUAAACCUCUUUCACCAGGGACGAAGCGUGAGUGACGGUACCUGGAGAAGAAGCACCGGCCAACUACGUGCCAGCAGCCGCAGUAA
rnacentral:rRNA from 1 species